GGCGCGGUGGCGUAAUGGUUACCGUGUUGGACUCGUGAUCGAGCGGUCUGGGUUCGAGCCCUGCCGGGGUCA